rnacentral:lncRNA from 1 species
ACUCAGGUGGCCCAUGGUGACCCCUCCCUCCCCUUCCCCACCAGCACCCUGUGGCCCAGUGUUGUCUGUGUCCCACACUCCCCAGCAGUCACGUCUGACACACUGGGUAUUGGUUUUCCAGGCGCCUGCUGAUCGAGGACUUGGAGGCCAGGAUCGCCCUCAUGCCACUCCUCCAGGCAGAGAAGGACCGCAGGUAGGCUGGGGUGGGAGGUCCAGUGGCGCCGUCUGGCUGGGAAGGGGCAGACGUUGCCUUGAGCUCAGCCAUGCCCUGUGACCACAGGACCCUGCAGAUUCUUCGGGAGAACCUGGAGGAGGAGGCUAUCAUCAUGAAAGAUGUGCCCAACUGGAAGGUGGGGGAGUCUAUGUUCCAUACCACACGAUGGGUGCCACCCCUCAUCGGCGAGCUUUAUGGGUUACGCACCAAGGAGGAGAUGGAGAACGCCAACUUCGGCUUCACCGGGUACACUUAGGGCCUGAGCCGACGUGCAUAAUAAAGAAUAGUCAAAUAAACUGUUGACUCUUGCG